rnacentral:lncRNA from 1 species
UCCAGUGCAGUCAGCUAAAGAAGGCCAUAUCCUUGACCUGAACAGACACCUCUCUGUUUCCAGGAUUUCUUUUGAACACUAACAUUUUCUUUUUCUGUAGUUAAGAAUUAUAAUUCUAUCCUACUGAACAAAUUGUGUUUCUGGGGCCCAGUGGAGCAAGGUCCCAUAGAAAUUCCUGAGUCCAUUUUGUAACUCCUUAAAAUCCUGCUUUUCAUCCUCCUUUACUAGACUCUCAGGUGAUUAUUACACCAGUCAGUAAUGGCCAGGGAAGCUUCUAGGAAUCAGUCACUGUCCUUGGCAUCUGCCAACAUGUUUUAUUAUCUAUUUCUUCAGUUCCUUCAUAGCGAAAGGGGGUGGGUGAUUCUAUGCAUCCCAGCCUUAGCAUAACUCCUGUGAAAACACAUGGCACCCAAAUUGAUUCCGACAAGAGACCCUAGGCUACAGAGCCAAAGAACUACUGGAAAAGUAGCAAUCCCCAAUCUUCCUCCCCAGGUUUGAUGGAAUUGGACACUGCCCCUGGCCAGCGAAAGGCUUACAUAAAUCAGUAAUUUAAAGGUCACAUGGUUUCUAUGAAGCCUGGAGGAUUGGAACAGGCUGUGUGACUGACCAUUUAAGCAGGUUUAUAAUAUCAGACUGCCAGAUCCUGACAAUGACCCAAAGUCUCCAAAGAAGAUUAUGAGGCACCCCGGUUCCUGUACCUGGAUGAUGAUGACGCUGACCAGUGAGCAAGAUGCUCAAAUGUGACACCUGCUGCCUGCCAGGACCUGGCCCAGACUGUGGACAAAACUGCUGGACACCGGAAAAUUGAUUGCACCCACUUUGCCUAGACAAAACAAGACACAUCUGAGUAUCAGUUGCUGACUACAGCCUACUCCUAAGGACUUGCUGUGGAUGUGAACCAGUCCAGCUGAUGUGGACAACCCCCUGACUCUUCAACAGAAUCUGCCAAUCAGCUGCUUUCCCAUUGCCUGAAUUCCCUUUUUUCUUUUGACUAGCAUUUCAACUCUCUUGGGUCCCUAACUGCAUCCCAUAGUCAGCAGGAAGUAGAAUGGGAAAGAAUACAUCGCCCAUUUUCCCUGGUUGAAAUGCUAAGUCAAAAUAAACUCCCUCAUGAAGGGACCAGCUCCCCAUUUUGGCAGCCAUAACAGCUUGUCUGACCUUGUCCUAGUCACUACAAAGUCAAAUCCCUGCCUCAUGGCAAGGAACCAAUCAGAAGUUAGCUGGUGGCGCUAUGCUUUACGGCUCUGGGUGUGCUUUACGGACAAGUGCACAGCAAUGAUGCGAAGAGCAUAUCAACCACCCUGGGAGGGCCUAUGGGCCAUAACAAUCAAUUGGCCAAUCAACAAAGGGCAAGCCCUCCAAGCCUGGAGGCACACCAAUCCUGAGCCUGUGCGUACCCCUAGACACUCCCCUUACGCUGCCCUACAAGACCUCUCUCUUCAGCCGGUUCAGGCUGUCUUUGCUAGCCAUCCGCCAUGGCGGGUGGGUGAAAGACCCGAGCUAACAUGGGGUUAGCUCGUUAAAGCCUCAUGCAGUUUGCAGCAAGUUUUCGAAUCCGCCUGGUGAUUGGGGUGACCUCGGUCCUGGGCUGGGACCCUGGAGGCCUGAGUUUUCCGGGGGUCUAACAUUCACAUAGGGGAUGCCAAUGUCACUCCCUCAGAAAAAUCGGAAGGACUAGAGAAUCGCCAAAGGGAGAAAGAGGUCAACCAGAGCUGGUUUGCAAGCUGGUAUAGCAGGUCCCCUUGGUUCACUACCCUGGUCUCCUGGUUGCUAGGGCCUAUCACUAUUAUCUUUGUUACUUCUCACUUUUGGUCCUUGUAUUCUCAAUUGCCUAAUGACUUUCUUUUUUCUUUUUUCUUUUUUUGGUUUUUCGAGACAGGGUUUCUCUAUGUAGCUUUGGAGCCUAUCCUGGCACUCACUCUGGAG